rnacentral:rRNA from 1 species
AUGAGUAUGCCAAAGUAUAUGGGUGGACUGGGUUUCCGUGAUGUUGAAAUCUUUAACUUAGCUCUUCUGGCUCGUUAGGCAUGGAGAAUUUUGCAAAAUCUGGAGUCUUUAGGUGCCAGAAUGCUAAAAGUAGUGUACUAUCCUAAUGGUGAUUUUCUUGAUGCUGAACUGGGUAGCAAUCCUUCACAGGUUUGGCGAUCAGUAGUAGAGGGAUGUGACACUCUUAAAACAGGGUUGAUUAGGCAAAUUGCACCGGCUUGGACACUCAUAUAUGGAAUAUGA